rnacentral:lncRNA from 1 species
UUCUAGGUCACUGUAUUUACUUUGCCUUCUCCAACACUGUUGCAUCAGAGAAUGAAAGGAAGGUUGAAUUCAAGGUAUAGAGGUGUCAAGAGAGAAGCAGAUCACGAAUGAACCAUCCCUACUGAGGCAUUUGUUCAUUGAAAAUAGAUUAGUUGAAUGCAAUCCCAUGCUUGGCAUGUGUGACAGUAAUGGGCAAGACAAUAUGUCUCCUGCUUUCAUGGAAUAUAUGUUCUCCUUCCCAGUAUUGCAUCUUCCACAGCAUGUGACCAAUACUACAUGGAAGCUGUCAAGACUUGGGGCUUGCACCCUCUGAAGCAAUGGCUUGAGCUGUAUGUUGGCCCCUUUCAGCCAUGGCUGGGACACAAGGCACCAACUCCCGAGACUGCACAAGGCAGCAAGGUCCUGAGCCCUGGCCAGAAAACAACGUUUUCCCCCUAGGCCUUCAGGCCUGUGAUGAGAGGGGCUGCCAUAAAGACCUCUGACAUGCCCUGGAAACACAGUUCCCAUUGUUUUGGUAAUUAACAUUUGGUUCCUGAUUACUUAUGCAAAUUUCUGAAGCUGGCUUGAAUUUCUCCUCAGAAAAUGUUUUUUUCUUUUCUAUUGUAUUGUCAGGCUGCAAAUUUUCCAAACUUUUGUGCUCUGCUUGCCUUUUAAACAUAAGUUCCAAUUCCAAACCAUCUCUUUUGGAAUGCAUAAAACUGAAUGCUUUUAAGAGCACCCAAGUCACCUUUUGAACAUUUUGCUGCUUAUAAAUUUCUUCUGCCAGAUACCCUAAAUUAUCUGUCUCAAGUUUAAAUUUCCAGAGAUCUCUAAGGCAGGGUCAAAAUGCUGCCAGUCUCUUUGCUAAAGCAUAGCAAUAAUCACCUGUAUUCCAGUUAUCAAGAAGUUCCUAAUCUUUGUCUGAGACCACCUCAGCCUGGACUUCAUCAUCCAUUUCACUACCAGCAUUUUGGUCAAAGGAAUUCAACAAGUUGCUAGGAAGUUACAAACUUUCUCACUGUUCCAACCUCUGCCUGUUACCCAGUUUCAAAGUUGCUUCAACAUUUUUGGGUAUCUUUAUAGCAGCACCCGACUCUCUGUGGUACUAAUUUACUGUAUUAGUCUGUUUACAUACUGCUAUAAAGAACUGCCUAAGACUAGGUAAUUUAUAAAGGAAAGAGGUUUAAUUGACUCACAGUUCAGCAUGGCUGGGGAGGCCUCAGGAAACUUACAAUCAUGGUGGAAGGUGAAAGGGAAGCAAGGCACCUUCCUCACAAGGUGACAGGAAAAAGAAGUGCCAAGUGAAGGGAAAAGAGUCUCAUAAAACCAUCAGAUAUUGUGAGAACUCACUCAGUAUCAUGAGAACAGCAUGGGGGAAACUUUCUCCAUGAUUCAGUUACCUUCCCUUGGUCUCUCCCUUGACACGUGGACAUUAUGGGGAUUAUGGGGCUUACAAUUCAAGAUGAGAUUUGGGUGGGGACACAAAGCCUAACCAUAUCAGUGAUGGUAUCAAAAGGUGAAGUCUUUGGUAAAUGAUUAGGUCAUGAGAUUACAGCCCUCAUAAAUAGAAUUAGUGCUCUUAAAAGAGACACCAGAGAGCUGACUAGUCUCUUCCACCAUGUGAGGACACAGUGAGGAGGCACCAUCUAUGAGCCAGGAAGAAAGUCCUCACCAGACACCAACUAUUCUUCUGUCUUUACCUUGGACUUCCCAGAACUGUAAAAAAUAAAUUUCUGUGGUCUAUAAGCCACCCAGUCGAUGGUAUUUUGUUAUUAACAACCUGAAUGGAUGGAUUAAGACACCAGUUUAAAUCAUUUUUUUCCACCAAAAACUAAAAUAGUUAAAAUAAAUGAAGAAAUUAAAUAAGAGCUAUGCUUGUUUGGAAGGAGAUAGAAUCCAUACAUUUAUUCUUUCUCUCAAUUGCACCAUUAUUCACUGAACAGUUGCCAUAAGCCAGGCUGUGUGCUGGGCCCUGGCAGUACAGAGAUGAACAAAGCACCAUUCUUGCCCUUAGAAGCUCACAGACUAGCUAGAGGGACAGACAGAUGAGCAGGGAACCAUAGAGUGAUAUGGUAUGUGAGAUAGGAGAGGCACAUGGAUCAGGGGGCAUGGUGGCUCAGCCAUUCCUGGGAGGGAUCAGUGAAUUGAGACUUACACAUGAGCAGGAUGUAGGAAAGCCGAGAAAAAUAAAGUGUCAUCUAUGAUGAUACAGAGAAAGGAGAGGUCAGGGUGUGGUACCUAAUAAUGAUGAUGAGGAUAAUAAGUGUAAUAUUUAGUUAAUAUUUAUUGAGUGCUUAUCAUACACUCUGCCCUGGUCCAAGUUCUUUGUAUAUAUAAUGUCAUUUGAUCCUCAUGGUGAUUCCAUGAGGUAGAUACCUAUUUUACUGGUAAGAAGGGGUUAGGGAAGUUGACAGAAACCACAUAGCAGGCCAGGGCUGCUGGGAUAUAUGACAAAAACAUAUAGAGUGUUGAUAGAUGAAACUCUUGAGAAUUUGUGUUGGGUUUGGAUUGUGAGAGAUUUUAAAUACAACACAAGGGGCUCAAUUAGAGGACAGAAAGUACAUUGUUGUUUACUGAGUGCCUACUAUAUCCCAGUUAUAUAUCUGAUCUGAUCAAAUUUUUACAACUCCCCUAUUGGAUAAGCAUUAUUAGCCACAUUCUUACUAAAACAACUCAGACAUAUUUUUAUUUUCCUAAAUCACUCUACUAGUAAGUGGCAAAAAGUAAAAAAAGCUGGCUCCUGAACACAUUUUUUAACUGCUAUAUUAUUGCCCAUUUCCUCUUUCUGAUAAAUAUUUUUAAUCCUUUUCCCCCCCUUCUGAUCAACUGAUAAAAAGCUAUCAUUUCUCUCUGCAGAAACAUACAUGGAACUAUAUACCAACAAACUUUUGCUUGUAAUUUAUUUUAUUGCAUGGGAAUUUCAUUUUUUUCAUAUGGACAGACCAUACAAACAAGUCUUACAAAAAAUUAUUUGUCUCAUUUCCUGCCUUCCUCCACAAAAUAUUACUGCUUUCUUCCUUAAAAAAGCAAUAAAUCCAAAUUUUGCAAAUGAAUGAAAAAUGUAAAUUGAAAUUCUGCUGAAAAGUAACAUUUCAGUGAGGAGCCUGCUGUUGUUUGACUUAAAAAAGAAAUAGAAAUGUUGGAGCUGUCUUUGCAUGACAGCAUCAUUUCAGCAAUCUAAUCAUUUCAACAUUGUUUUUUUGGCAACAAGUCCCCAAACUGUGACUCAGAAAGGUAAGUAACAAACCCCAUUAUUGUUUCCAGAACUCACUUUGCCACACAAGGUCAGAUGUGUGUCAAGGAGGCCCAGAAUCCUCUAAGAUUCUUUGAGUUUAAUUUAUUUUGUAUAAUCCCCUUUGUCCUAGAGUUAAUGAGGUUGGCUCUGCAUUCUUGAUGCCAUCUGUGUCAGCAAGGUAAGGAUUAUGAAUCCAGUUCAAUCGUAAGGCUGUCUACACACUAGUAAACCUCAGAAGAAUUCUGCUAUAUUUCCUGGUGUCUACAGAUUUCUGCUUAUGGAGAAACAGACAAGGUUUUGUCACUGUGUACAACAGUCUACAAAAACAUUUUUUCUUGACUGGGAAACAGGAUAAUUUUCCACCUCCUAGUUCUUUCAGAAGAGUGAAAAUUGCUGAAAUGCUAGGAACUUUUUGGCAGUGUCCAUAACGGUGAAUGCCGGGCUUGAAUUCAAACCACUACUUUAUCCAACUUGCCAAAAAUGUCCACCAAGAAUUUCUCCCUGUCAGAUUAUUCUGAGAAAGAGCAUUUUAAUCUGCAAAGUAAUAAUAACAAUAAUGAUAAUAGUGACUAUAUGCCAGAAGUUCCAUUGAGUGCUUUAAGACUUAGUGUCUAGAAUCUGGUGAGCCUCCCAAGAUAAGGGCUUCUGAGUUCUACUCCUGUUUCUUGAUUAAGUAUUAAAAAGGUGGUUCAAGGAGAGGAUAACAGGAAGUUCUCUGAGGUUGAUCAGCUGGAUCUGACACUUGAGCACACCGAUAUAGAAAGCAACCAAGGGGCAAUGUCAUCUGAUGCUUUUUUCUUCACUGUAUCACUUCUCUUACAAUUUAGUGCUUAAGCAACAGCCAUUAAUUUGGCUCAUGAUUUUGUGGAUUGGCGGUUUGGGCUGGGCACAGCUGAUGGUUCUUCUGGUCUGAGCUGCGCUCAGUUGAUCUCAACUGGGCUUGUGCAUGCAUCUGCAUUCCUGCUGGUGGAUUGGCAAGGGCCUGCUGGUUUGUAGUAGCUAGCCUGGUCUUGAUUGUUGGCAUGUCUGAGCUCACUCUCCAUGUUGGUUUCUUAUCCUCCAGGUGGUUAGCCUGGGCUUGUUCACAUGGUGGCUGGCUUCCAUGAAUAGCCGGAGAGCAAGCCUGUGAGAACAAGAACAAGUACUUUUCAAGUAUUUGUUUUUGUUCCUUUGCCCCUGUCCUACUGGUCAAAGCAAGGUACUAGUCAGCCCACAUUCAAGGCAUGGACCCAAACUCCAACUAUUGGUGAGAAACACUACCUUGUGAAGCUGUGGAUAUGGGAAGGAGAUUAAUCUGUGGCCAUUUUUCUAAUCUACCAUAUUUGCAAAACACAAAAGCCUUUUAAGAGUUAAGGGGCCAAUAUAUUAUACCUUUCUCCCACUUUUGAGUUUAGAGCCAAUUGAGAGAAGUACACUGGGGUCAAAUGGGGCAGAUCAAAUACCAGCUUAAUUAUUGGUGAAGUUAGAAUGGGAACCCAUUUUGCAUUUGUAGUCUGAACAGACUUUCUAUAAUCCUCUCCUAGAAUGAAAGUAAUCAUCUGGAAUUGAAGCUGUCCCCCUGCAGGAGCUUAAAAAUGUGUGUGUGUUUUGAGUAGGUGGAUGCCAGAGAGAAAAAAAAAAAAACACAAGGAAGAGGGCUAGGUAGAGACUCUUUUCCUCUGCUCUGUAGGGAAAAAUUGUAUCACUGAAUGCUAGAUACUUCCUUUCCCAUCAUGGGAAUAAAGAAAAAAGUGGAAAGAGAGGGAAAAUGUUACUAUUUAUAAGCCUAGGUGGGAAUGCUAUGAGAGGGAGAAAAAUGGUCCCCCUUAUCCCAGAUGUGUUUCCAAGCAAUGAAGAUACUUACGUUUGUGUGUGCCCUGAGUGUCGUUUUUUCCCUCUAAGUAAAUUGCUUGGCAAUGAAACCAUUUAUCAUUGUGAACAUGUGGAUGGUAAGAGAAGAUUCCCAAUGGGACUUGCAAAAUAGGACUUCUUCAUUGAUAGUGUAAGUGAAAAUAAAUUAAAAACCCAGGAAUUAGCUUCAUUGAAAUACAUCAGUAGUUACAUACUGCUGCAAGAUGAAGAGAAAUGGCUGUCAAUUCCAUGACCUAUUUCAAAAUACUGGAGAAAAUUUGAUGUCUUGGGAGUGAAUGCCGUGUAACAGAAGUGAUGCUUCUAUUUUUUUUUUCUAGUGUUCCAAGACCCGAAGUAGCUUGACCAUGCCCUAAAAUGAAGCUGUUUAUGUGCUUUUUAUUUUUCCUUAGCAAUUCCAUGAGCACUUGUUGGGGGCUGAAUUUUCAUGGUCACAACAGUCCUCAAAACUAAGGUUUGGGCGGGGCUCAGUGGCUCACAUCUGUAAUCCCAGCACUUUGGGAGGCCGAAGCAGGCAGAUCACCUGAGAUCAAGAGCUUGAGAGCAGCCUGGCCAACAUGGUGAAACCCUGUCUCUACUAAAAAUACAAAAAUUGGCUGGGCGUGGUGGUGGGUGCCUGUAAUUCCAGCUACUUGGGAGGCUGAGGCGAGAGAAUCACUUGAGCCCGGGAGGUGGAGGUUGCAGUGAGCCGAGAUCACGCCUUUGCACUCCAGCCUGGGCAACAGAGCGGGACUCCGCCUCAACAAACAAACAAACAACCAAAAACACAAAAACCCCAACUCAGGUUUGUAAAGAUGUUAAUUUGCUUUAUUUCUGUAUAAAACAGUGUCUUAGCUCUCAUGCCUCCAAUUCCAUAAGGGCAAAAAACUUAAUCUUGCAAAACCAAGUAUGCUCAGCCAAGUCUAGUUUAAUACUCAGUCUCUUUGGGACAAAUACACAAUUAACUCAAGAUGCUUAGCUUCUCCUUUUUCCUUUGUUUCUCCUCAAGGGACAGGAAUCAGAUGGGCAUAGGGCAUCUGGUCCAUGAUCAUCCUUUGUUCGUGCUGAUCUCUGAUGAAAUAUCUGAAGAAGGGCUUUACAGAUGUAAUCAAAUUAAGAUGGGGCCAUACUGGAGUAUUAGGCCUAAUUUAAUGACUGGUGUCCUUAUAAGAAGAGGGAAAUUUGUACACACACAGAAGGAGAACACCAUGUGAAGCUGGAGGCAGAGAUUGGAGUGACACGCCUACAAACUGAGGGGCACCAAAGACCACCAGCAACCACCAGAAGCUGGAAGAGGCAUGGCACAGAUGACCACAAGAGCCUCCAGAAGGAACCAACCAUGCUGACGCCUUGAUUUUGGACUUCCAGCCUCUCAAAUUGUGAGCAAAUAAAUUUUUGUUGUUUUAAGCUACCCAGUUGUGGUACACUGUUAUGGUAGCCUGAUAUAGUUUGGCUGUGUCCCCAUGCAAAUCUCAUCUUGAAUUGUAGCUCCCAUAAUUCCCACAUGUUAUGAGAGGGAUCCGGUGGGAGGUAAUUGAAGCAUGGAGAAAGGUCUUUCCCAUGCUGUUCUCAUGAUAGCGAACACAUCUCAUGAGAUCUGAUGGUUUUAUAAAUGGGAGUUUCCCUGUACAUGCUCCCUUUGCCUGCCACCAUGUGAGACGUGACUUUGUUCCUCCUUCACCUUCUGCCAUGAUUGUGAGCCCUCCUCAGCCAUGUAGAACUGUGAUUCCAUUAAACCUCUUUCCUUUAUAAAUU